UACUAACAAUUAGCAAGUGAUGAUAGACCAGACAGGGACAUCUGUAUUCUUUUUGAACAUGAUGAUUUGUCUGUGGGAAUCUCUCUGAUGCUUAGAUUUCUA
rnacentral:pre_miRNA from 1 species